GCUAAGGUAGCAUAAUCAUUUGUUAUUUAAUUGGUAACUGGAAUGAAAGGUUAAACUAGCUUAUUAAGUUUGUAGGGCUAAAUAGGAGUUUAAAGUUAAGGUAAGAAUGCUUUAAUUUUUUAGGGGACGAUAAGACCCUAGAAGCUUAACGAGUAGUUGUUUUGUUUUAUAAAUUUGUUCGUUUUACUGGGGCGGUAAAAAUAAUUAAGCUAUUUGUUAUUUAGAGGAUCCUUAAAAUAAAGAAAAAAUGGAGAAGUUACUCUAGGGAUAA
rnacentral:rRNA from 1 species